ensembl:lncRNA
UAAAUCUCCAGUGUGUGUUCUGAGAGUCUUGAACUAAUGAGAUCCUGGUAAACAGCCUGAAAUGGACUUUGCAGAUUCUACAUAAAGCAUCAACUGAUUUUCUCAGCACACAUUAUCAAAUUCCCUUCCCAUUUAAAGUUUGCUUUUUAUCAGAUGUAACCCUUUCCUGAGCCUGUGUUGUGAAUAUUUACAAAUGAUGCAGUCUGUGAGAUUCUUCAAACACACAGGAGAGAGAUACAAGGCCACUCUGUGUGUUUACAUAACAUGUUUCUUUCCUGAAAAUGUAAUGUUAAUAGGGAUUGGGCCCUUAAAAGAAGGCUGUACACCAAGAAGACCCAAACAGAAUAGAGCCAGCCCAAUAUAUGUACAGAGCUUGAGAUAAAAACACAAGAAAUAUAAAAAGGCAACCUGACUCCUUCAAGCUUCAUAUCCCUUCAGCAGCUAAAUCCAAAGAUACUUAAAUGGAUGAAAAGACGAAGAAUUCAUAAUAUUGAUUUUUAAAAUAAAUUACUUGAAAUAGGAUGAAAUUAAGCAUUUGAGUGAAUUAAGGAAGAUUUUGAAAGCUAUAAAAGAAUUAUUGAACAAGGAGACAGAGAUUCUGAAGAGAAUCAAACAGAAAUCUUGGAAAUGAAAAACACAGGAAGUCAAAAAACAAUUUUUCAGAAAGCCUCAGCAGUAGACUGGAUGAAGCAGAAGACAGAACUUCGGGGUUUGAAGACAAAGUUCAAGAAUUACUUCUCUGAGAUACUAGAAAUGGAAACAGACAAAAAAUAAAUUAUGAACAAAAUAUCCAAGAACUCUGAGACAUAUAAAAAUAAAACUUACAAAUUUUUAGUACAAAGGAGGAGUUUGAGGUACAGAUUAAAGGCAUAGAACCCAGUGGAAAAUAGCAGAAAACUAUGGCCAUCCAGGUACAGGAGGCAUUUAGAUCCCCAAACCAAGUAUCACCAGAAAAGAAUCUCCAAAUAUCAUAUUAUAAUUAAAAUUCCAGGAGUUCAGAACAAGGAAAAAGGAUUGAAAGCUACAAGAGAGAAAUGCCAAGUCACUUGCUCUGUAGACAAAUGCAUCAGAAUAACUGCAGGUUUCUCAGCAGAAACUCUAAAGACCAAGCAGGCAUGAGAUGAUGUGUUUCAAGACCUAAAAAAAAAUAACUGCCAACCUAAAUGGCUAUGUAUAGCAUAUCUAUCCUUCAGAAUCUAAAGAGAAAUAAAGAUCUUCCAUGAAAAGCAUAAACUAAAGAAAUUCAUGACCACUAAACCAGCAUUACAGAAGAUAUUUAAAGUAAUCUUACAUAUUGAAGAGGAAGAAAGAUAAGCAACUGAGAAUUAGGAAAAAAACCUAACAUUAGAAAAACAACAAAAUGAGAGGAAUUAGUAGACACCUUUCAAAAAUAAUCCUAAAGGUAAAUGGUCUUAAUUCUCCAAUAAAAAGUAAACCACUGGAUGGCAGAUGUAUUAAAAAUCAAGAUUUACCUCUUUCUUGCCUGAAAGAAUUACACUUCAAUGCCAAAGACUGUAAAUGAAAAGAAUAAAAUGAUAUUCCAGGAAAAUGGAUUUCAAAAUCAAGCAGGAGUAGUGAUACUCAUAUGUGAUGAAGCUACCUUCAUUACACAAUGCAAUGAUGCAUCUCAAGUUAUGAGAAAAAUGAGAGCAAACAAAAUCCAAACUCAAUAGAAGGAAAGAAAUAAUAAAGGCCAAAGGUAAAUUAAUAAAAAAGACUGAAAGAACAAUAUAAAGGAUCUAUGAAACAGAGAUGGUUCUUUGCAAAAAUAAAGAAGACCAACUCACCCUCAGCCAAACUAACAAAAAGAGAGUGAGAAGACCAGGAUCAAUACAAUUAGUGGUACAAAGUGGAAACUGCAGCAAACAGAACU